rnacentral:rRNA from 1 species
CAGUCGAACGAAGCACUUUAUUUGAUUUCCUUCGGGACUGAUUAUUUUGUCACUGAGUGGCGGACGGGUGAGUAACGCGUGGGUAACCUGCCUUGUACAGGGGAUAACAGUUGGAAACGGCUGCUAAUACCGCAUAAGCGCACAGCAUCGCAUGAUGCAGUGUGAAAAACUCCGGUGGUAUAAGAUGGACCCGCGUUGGAUUAGCUAGUUGGUGAGGUAACGGCCCACCAAGGCGACGAUCCAUAGCCGACCUGAGAGGGUGACCGGCCACAUUGGGACUGAGACACGGCCCAAACUCCUACGGGAGGCAGCAGUGGGGAAUAUUGCACAAUGGGCGAAAGCCUGAUGCAGCGACGCCGCGUGAGCGAAGAAGUAUUUCGGUAUGUAAAGCUCUAUCAGCAGGGAAGAUAAUGACGGUACCUGACUAAGAAGCACCGGCUAAAUACGUGCCAGCAGCCGCGGUAAUACGUAUGGUGCAAGCGUUAUCCGGAUUUACUGGGUGUAAAGGGAGCGUAGACGGCUAAGCAAGUCAGAAGUGAAAGGCUGGGGCUCAACCCCGGGACUGCUUUUGAAACUGUUUGGCUAGAGUGCUGGAGAGGUAAGCGGAAUUCCUAGUGUAGCGGUGAAAUGCGUAGAUAUUAGGAGGAACACCAGUGGCGAAGGCGGCUUACUGGACAGUAACUGACGUUGAGGCUCGAAAGCGUGGGGAGCAAACAGGAUUAGAUACCCUGGUAGU